rnacentral:rRNA from 1 species
UUGCGGUAAAAAGCUCGUAGUUGGAUUUCUGUUGAGGACGACCGGUCCAUACCACGUAUGCGCAUCUGGUUCGGCCUCGGCAUCCUCUCGAAAGACGUUUCUGCGCUUGAUUGCGUGGGGCGGAUCUCGGGACUUUUACUUUGAGGAAAUUAGAGUGUUCACGGCAGGCUAUCGCCAGAAUACAUUAGCAUGGAAUAAUACUAUAGGAUCUUGAUUCUAUUUUGUUGGUUUCUAGGAUUGAGAUAAUGAUUAAUAGGGACAAUUGGGGGCAUUCGUAUCAACACGUCAGAGGUGGAAUUCUUGGAUUGUGUUGCGACGAACUACUGCGAAAGCAUUUGCCAAGGAUGUUUUCAUUGAUCAAGAACGAAAGUAAGGGGAUCGAAGACGAUUAGAUACCUUUUUAGUCUUUACCAUAAACUAUGCCAACUAGAGAUGGGGCAUCGUUCACUUACGACUUGCUCCGCACCUUAUGAGAUAUCAAAGUUUCUGGGUUCCGGGGGGAGUAUGGUCGCAAGGCUGAAACUUAAAGGAAUUGACGGAAGGGCACCACCAGGAGUGGAGCCUGCGGCUUAAUUUGACUCAACACGGGGAAACUCACCAGGUCCAGACAUAAUAAGGAUUGACAGAUUGAUAGCUCUUUCUUGAUUUUAUGGGUGGUGGUGCAUGGCCGUUCUUAGUUCGUGGAGUGAUUUGUCUGCUUAAUUGCGUUAACGAACGAGACCUUAACCUGCUAAAUAGACGCGCCUAUCUCCGGAUAAGCGCCUGUCUUCUUAGAGGGACUGUUUGCGUUUCAGCAAGCGGAAGUUUGAGGCUAAAACAGGUCUGUGAUGCCCUUCGAUGUUCUGGGCUGCACGCGCGCUACACUGAUGCGUUCAACGA